UUCCUUAGCAUUUAUUUUGUGAUAUUGUUAGCGAUUUUUCUUUUUCGAUGAGAAAGAAGUCAAAUUAUACUGCCCAUUUGAGAACACAGCCGCAAAACCAGGUGAUAGAUCCUUAAGUCUAAAAACUCUAAACCGAGGGUUAGACAAAGAAAGCCCGCCAAUCUACAUGAAUGAGAUAAUGUUGUGUAUUACAAAGAGAAUUAUGUAAAGGAAGUCUCCCUCUUUUAUGUGGGCUUGGUGUCUAUGUAUUUUUUCGUUUUUUUUCCUCAGUAAAAGUUGUUUUCGUUAAAAGAAAGAAUAAUUGCAAUGGAUAGUACUUGUAGAGUUAAUAAUUAGGUUUAUAAACUUCUAUUAAUGAUAUGACCCAUCACUGAUGGACUCCUACUACUGGUAUGGUCUAUUAUCGAUAGAUUUUAAGAGUUAAAUCUAAAUUUUGUUAUAUUUGCGUUGUGCUAUAUAUAUGUGCCUGAAGAACUCUGGAGGACUCAUCUAGGGCCAGCUGCCUGUUCCUUUUGUUCCAAAUAGAUCAUAUUUGUGAAAUCAUUAGAACCCAAAUUACAUCCGACACCGUGCCCUGACAAAUGGAAUCAAUAUACUCUGGGUUAAUGGGUUUCAUUUCCAUUCUGAGUGUUGAUUUUAUGGAAUCAAUCUAUAUUUCCUUAAUUACUUAAUAGAGAUACAAGCCUAUAUAUAACCAUAGAGAAAUACACUUAAGGAAAUAAUAUCAAAUAAUAUCUCCAGAAUAAUAUCUCCUAAGAAUAAUAUCUCCUAAGAAUAAUAUCUCCUAAGAAUAAUCUAAUUAUAUUAAUACCCUCCCUCAAACUCAAGGUUGAAAUCACAAACUUGAGUUUGCUAAGAACUAAGAAAAGAAACAAUAUAUCUAGAAUAGAAUAAAAAACCCGAAGAACAAACACACAAAGAACUUCUAGGCUAAAACAAACCCACGAAGAGCGAAACGAAGAACUUCUGGGAUAGAAACAUAGAUCCUCGUAUAGAGAUCUAUAACAGAACCUAGGAAGAACGAAACAAGAACUCCGGGGGCAAAAUGAAAGAGCAAAACUGAAGCAAAGUAGAAUCAAAUCAGGAUGAAAACGUGGUCUGAAUUGGGCAGGAGCGUUUCGUCAUCAGAAUGGAACUGAACGAACUAAACUAAAGCAAGUCAGAAUCAAACUGAACAGGAAAUCUGGAUGAACAGAACGAAAACUGAAGAGAACUGAGAGGUUGAGUAGAUAGAGAACUUUGCGGCGUUCUUCGCAAAAAGAGAAGAUGCGUUUCAUGACGGCGAGCUUCACAAAUGGAGAGCGGACAAAGCCGAACCUGUGCGUCGUCGGCUGUGAGUGGAGCGGAGCGGUGGAUCAUGGAUCUGAACAAAGAUUCACCCUCUUCAGGAUCGGGAGUCUUCAAUCUAAAGAGAUUGUCUGGUACGAGUAAAGGGCGGCGGCGGCAGGUCGGUCUGAUCUUGAACAGUAUGAUUCGAAGGCGAAAGAUGAAAUAAAACACGGAUCUGGAAGUCGAAGACACGAACAGAGAUGCACGAACAAAUCGGUGCUUGCAAUGUGCGCACAAGUAGAUCUAAGUGAGGACGAAUGGAGAGCGGAUAUGGGUCGAGAGUGCGACGAACUGGGUCGAGAGUGCGACGAACUGGGUGGAUGGAAGGAGCAGUGAUGGCAGAAGGAGUAGUGGCGGCGGCAGCAGAAUCAGAGACGAGGAUUUUGAUCUAGGAGGCAGAGCGAAUUACUUGGAGACAUGAUGUGUAUUGAUUACUGAUGGGUAUGGCUCUGCCUCCGUCGACGAAUCAACGGAGGCAGACGAGCGGGGAUGUGACGGCUAGAAUACAAGGAGACUAAAACCCUAUAGCUCUGAUACCAUGUUGAUUUUAUGGAAUCAAUCUAUAUUUCCUUAAUUACUUAAUAGAGAUACAAGCCUAUAUAUAACCAUAGAGAAAUACACUUAAGGAAAUAAUAUCAAAUAAUAUCUCCAGAAUAAUAUCUCCUAAGAAUAAUAUCUCCUAAGAAUAAUAUCUCCUAAGAAUAAUCUAAUUAUAUUAAUACUGAGAAUAUUUCUAUUUCAGUUGAUCGAUGCUAUAUUUGUAGCACACAAGUUGUUGGAUAUCAUUUCUACUCUUGGCUCUGAGAAUGGGUAUAUUGUGUGUUGAUUUCUCUAUGGCUCACAGGAUGUGGAGAGAAAUCAGACUUCUGGCUGCAUCAAAACCUGUUGUUGCAUCCAUGGCUGAUGUGGCUGCCAGUGGAGGAUACUAUAUGGCAAUGGCAGCUGGGACAAUUGUUGCAGAAGAUCUAACCUUAACUGGUUCUAUCGGAGUUGUCACAGGUAAAUUAAUAAAUAUCUGCAACGAAGAAAGAAUAUGUUGAAAUGUGCAAUACUCUCUCCCUGUUUUGUUUGUUUUCUUUCUUAUAUUUAUCUUUUGUAAAACUGCUGUAGACAAAGGAUUUAGUUAAGUUAUUUUAAAAUUUCUCCAAACGGAGAGAACCCAAGUCUAGGAAUAACCUAAAGCUUUUGGAAUUUCUUUCCCAAGGUAAAAUUUACCAUUGAACUUCCUACCUUGAAGCAACUUAAAAGAUUUAUGGUCCAACCUACAAGAGCAAGGACAAAGGACCGAAACACCAUGGUUGCCUACGCUUGCCUAUCUAACCUUGGACCUGUUGGGAUUCUAUCCACGUUCUUGAUUUCAAAUGGGGGGAAUGGAUGUAUGCUUUAGAGUGACAAAUCUGGACCAAAGCCAUAGUUGUAGUCAAAGUUUCCAUCGAUAUCCCCCCCUCCUCUUCCAUCCUUUUAAAUUGUACCAACUUAUUUAAUAGGAAAGACAAAUGAAUUCCCUCACCUGCAUCAUUAAAAAUCAAAAGAUUUAAUAGGAAAGACAAAUGAAUUCCCUCACCUGCAUCAUUAAAAAUCAAAAGAUAAUAGAAGCAGUAUUGUUUUUGUAGUUGUACAUCCUCGGGUGAAAUCUGUUUGUGUUAUCGUGAACUUUGGUGUUGAUGAUUUAUUUUGGCUGUAGGGAAGUUUAACUUGGGGAAACUAUAUGAAAAGAUUGGCUUUAACAAGGAAAUCAUUUCAAGGGGAAGGUUUGCUGAGCUUCUUGCGGCUGAACAACGACCUUUCAGGUAAAAUAUUUCUCAAGAGCAAAUAGAAUUGUGGUAUCCCAUAUUAAUUGUCAAACGAGGUAGACGUGACCAAUAGGUGUAGUGGGUACCGAGUCCAUCGAUACUCUGACAUUAGAAUUUGUUGGGUUCAACCACAUUAAUCAUUCUUCCAUGAAAUACCUUAAAUAAAUUAUGCUUGAACUCAAAGUUGAAAUUGAACGAAUUUUCAACAUGAAUUUUAGUCGCUUUCAGGCAUCCAUCAAAACUAGUAUCCUGAUUUACGAUUCACCUCAUCUUACCAAAUAUGCCUGCCUCAUUUUUACAGAAGAAGCAAAUAUAUAUCACGAUUCACACUACUCACCAUUGACUAUUUAGUACUCUGUUUUACUUCAUUUACAUCUUGCAUCCUUUUUUCGCCAAUAAUAAAAAGGUCUUAACAUCUGAUACGGUUUAGAAUUAGAUCAAGUCGUUUAAUUUUUCAUUCUUAGUGCUUCUUCCCAUCAAUAAUUAAAGGUUACCAGUUUCUGAUCAGACCGGAUGAAGCAGAACUCUUUGCCAAAUCUGCACAAAAUGCGUACAAGCAAUUUCGGGACAAAGCAGCCUUUUCCAGAUCUAUGACUGUAUGUUGUUCAUCAAGGAUCUCUUUCUUUCUUUUUUUCUUUUGUUAUUUCUAUGAAUUUGUCAUUUUAAUGUCUUAAUACCUAAUAGGUGGAUGAGAUGGAGAAAGUUGCACAGGGAAGGGUUUGGACCGGUAAAGAUGCAGCAUCCCGUGGUUUAGUGGAUGCUAUUGGUGGCUUUUCUCGGGCUGUUGCAAUAGCAAAACUAAAAGCCAACAUUUCUCAAGACAGCCAGGUUCAAUUUUUUAUUAAAUUUUUCAUUAAAUUUUUCUACCACUUGUUUCUUUCCUAAUUAGAAUUAAGAUUUGUUUGGAAGAAUAACUUUCUAAAAGAAAUGUUUUGAAGUCUUGUUUUGGUAUGCCUUCAAUCGGUUAUCUGGCAUUUCGAAUAACUAAGAACCGGUCUCACUAGAGUUUAGAAUGGUACAUUGUAUAUAAAACCUCUAAUCCCACUAGCUACUAGUGCCCCAGCAAUUUGUAUUAUAUGAUAUUCCUCUCUAUUAGUAAAAUUAGUCUUCCUCUUUCGGUAGAUGUAGCUAACACACUCUUGUUUGGAAGGUUGGAAUGUAGUGGGUUUUAAUAUCAAGUCCAUGUUUGAAUUGAGAGCCUUGGGCUCGAUUUGUAAUCCCUAUUAUAUUCUCUUGCCACCAUUUUCAGCCCGGCCAACCUUCUUUCCCACCAUUUUCACUCUUCAGGAUUACAUUCCAACCUCCCAAACAAGCUAGUAAACCAUGCAAAUCUGUAUACCAAUUUUAUCGUGUAUGUCUUUUACACUUUAUUUGUCAAUUUCAUAACCUUCAAAGAAAAAGUGUUUUUCGAACUUUUAAAAGUCAUUCUAAAGAGACUCUUGUGUGAGUAGGUAUUUUGUUUCUACUCGAGAAACUGAUUAGUGUCUUUUUUUUUCUCUUUUUCCACCAUGGUAAAAAAAGGUUAAUCUUGUGGAAUUAUCACGACCGUCGCCAACGCUACCGGAGAUACUAAGCGGAGUAGGGAGUACAAUUAUUGGAGUUGACAGGACAAUGAAGGAUCUGCUCCAAGACCUUUCUUUGGGAGAAGGAGUCCAAGCUCGUAUGGAAGGGAUUAUGCUGCAGAGAAUGGAGGGAUUUUCUUAUGGUAAUCCCAUACUUAAUUUCAUUAAAGAUUACUUCACUUCCCUCUAACCUUUUUUGGUGCCGUUAUUAAAACCCAUAUUUAAUUUCUCAAUUCCCCAUUAUUUGGAACAUACUCUUAUGAUACGAUAAUAGGAUGUCCCAACUAAACAAGAAAUGUAUAGAUAGAUAAUAUAUGUCAUUUGAUUUAAUAAAUUAGCAUCUUUUCCAUGCAUAAAUAUAGUUUUGUUUUCCUUUUUACCUUUUUUUUUUCUUUAUACUUCUAAAAUUUGAGGUUAUAUCAAUACAAAUCUCGAACUAAUAAUUAACCAUAUAUUGUUUUCGACAUUUUCAAAUAUAGUAAAAUAAACUAAAAUAUUCACGUGCUAUAACAAAAUUUUGAAUUUUAUAAAUGAUAAAAACCGAUACACUUCUAUCAUUGUUUAUCAACGUCACUAUAGAAAUAUAUCACUGUCUAUUAUAUUAGUAAUAGAAUUGAAAAUUUAAAUAUUUUGACAAAUUUACUAUUUUUUAUAAUUUUCUUAUUGUUUUUAGAAUUUUGCUAAGAAGGUUGAGAAAAUAAGUACAAUCUUUAAUGAUAGAGGUAUAAUUUAAUCGAUAAAAGAGAAAUUGUAUUAAAUAACAAAAAAGAAUAUUUAGAAAAAAACAGCAGGUUGGCAACUAAUUGGUGAUAUCAGAAGGCUAUUAGAGUAUUAUCUUUUUAAAUUUGUUACUUUUGCAAUUUUGGACAUAAAUAGUUCGUCAAUUCAUCUAUUUUUUAAAAUCCUAAAUAUAUAAUAUAUAUAUUUGAAGCGUAAAAACUAAAAGCAAAAUUAGAUAAGUCCCAACCCAAAUUUCACGUUUAAAAUGUUGUUUGAGAUGUGAAAACAAUGGAGUGUCUUUGGCGAGGUUACAAACUAUCUGUCAAUGCUUAGCCUUUUCUUCAAAGCUUCGAAUAAGAGUGCAUGUAAGACUAGAGAGUGAAUGAGGAAUAGCCGUAAUGUAUAAAAGCCGUUAGUUGAAUACAUGUUUGGUAUUAGAACAAAAAUAGAAAAGAGUAUGAGCACAAACGAAUAACAAGAACAAAAUGCUAUGUAUAGUUUUGUUCAUCAUCUUCACAAAAAUCUAAUACACUAAAUUUUGAACUCAAUACAUAACUGCAUAAGAAAAACUAAAAUACAUGAACGAUUUCCAUCAACAAGCUCUCUUCAAUGGCUGUGGUGGCGCCGCUAUUCUCUGGCUGCCACCGCUCUCCGAUCAUGUAUAAACCAACUCCAACUCCAACUCCACCUCCCACUCCCAUAUCAAUUUUAAAAAAUUCCCUUCUUUCAACUUCAACUCCAAAAUCUUCGUACUUCUUUGUCUCUGCUCGAACUCAAUCCCAUCAAUCUCGAUCCGUCAACCCGGUUUCUCAGCUCUCGCUUCUCGAAGAGAUUUCCAAGCUCUGUGAAGCGGGUGAUCUCAAUGGAGCUCUCGAUUUUCUUCAGAGAGCCUGGAAGAACAAUGCUGGGUAUGAUUUGGCUCAGAGAAAAGAGGCCAUGGGUAUGUUAUUGCAGAAAUGUGGGCAGUAUAAAAACGUCGAAAUUGGCCGGAAACUUGAUGAAAUGUUGUGCGUUUCCUCUCAGUUCAGCGGCGACUUUGUCCUCAAUACCCGUCUCAUCACAAUGUACUCCAUUUGUGGAUAUCCUUUGGAAUCUCGAUUGGUCUUUGAUCGUUUGCUGAAUAAGAAUUUGUUUCAAUGGAAUGCACUUGUUAGUGGGUACGUUAGAAAUGAACUGUACGACGAGGCAAUUCACACUUUCCUUGAGUUGAUAUCGGUAACUGAAUUUCAACCUGAUAAUUUUACAUUUCCUUGCUUGAUCAAGGCUUGUACUGGGAAAUGUGAUAUUCAUUUGGGGAAAUCGGUUCAUGGGAUGGCGGUGAAAAUGGGGUUGAUCAUGGAUUUGUUUGUGGGUAAUGCGAUGAUUGCACUUUAUGGGAAAUGUGGGUUUUUAGACGAAGCCGUCGAGUUGUUUGAUAAAAUGCCUGAACAAAACUUGAUCUCUUGGAAUUCGUUGAUUCGUGGGUUUUCUGAGAAUGGAUUUUGGCUGGAAGCUUAUAGGGCGUUUAGAAGUCUUUUGGAGAGUGGCGAUGGAUUGAUUCCGGAUGUUGCUACAAUGGUAACUCUGUUGCCUGUGUGUUCAGGAGAAGGAAAUGUAGAUGUGGGAAUGGUGAUUCAUGGGAUGGCAGUGAAACUGGGGCUUGUUCAUGAACUAAUGGUGUGUAAUGCUUUGAUUGACAUGUACUCAAAAUGCGGUUGCUUAUCAGAAGCAGCGAUUUUAUUUCGUAAGAUUGAGAACAAAAGUGUAGUUUCUUGGAAUUCCAUGAUUGGUGCAUAUUCUAGGGAAGGAUUCGUAUUUGAAACAUUCGAUCUGUUGAGAAAGAUGUGGAUGGAAGAAGAAUUGAUGGAAGUAAAUGAGGUCACCAUUUUGAAUUUGUUACCUGCUUGUUUGGAAGAAUCUGAACUGUUGAGUUUGAGGGCACUUCAUGGAUAUUCACUUAGACAUUCGUUUCAAUACAAAGAAUUGAUAAAUAAUGCGUUUAUAGCAGCCUAUGCAAAGUGUGGAUCAUUGGUUUUUGCUGAGCACGUCUUCUUUGGAAUGAAUACGAAGUCAGUGAGCUCUUGGAAUGCAGUCAUUGGUGGACAUGCUCAAAAUGGUGAUCCGAUAAAAGCUUUAGACUUUUAUUUUGAGAUGACACGUUUGGGCAUUCUUCCUGACGAUUUUAGCAUUGUUAGCCUACUAUUGGCUUGUGGCCGUUUGGGACUUCUACAAUAUGGCAAAGAGAUACAUGGAUUUGUGCUAAGGAAUGGGUUAGAGAUGAAUUCAUUUGUUGCUGUCUCCUUGUUAUCACUUUAUUUCCAUUGUUCUAAACCUUUCUACGGCAGAACUUACUUUGAAACGAUGGGAGACAAAAACUCAGUGUGUUGGAAUGCGAUGCUUUCUGGUUAUUCUCAAAAUGAACUUCCAAACGAAGCUCUCUCUCUGUUUCGUCAAAUGCUUUCUGACGGACUUGAACCUGAUGAGAUUGCCAUAGCGAGUAUUCUUGGGGCUUGCUCACAGCUAUCAGCUCUUGGUCUCGGAAAAGAAGUUCAUUGCUUUGCCUUAAAAAACAGUCUAAUGGAAGACAAUUUUGUUGCUUGUUCGCUCAUGGACAUGUAUGCCAAAAGCGGCUUUCUGGGACAUUCUCAACGAAUAUUUAACAGGUUAAAUGGCAAAGAAGUGGCUUCAUGGAACGUCAUGAUCACAGGAUUUGGUGUUCAUGGACAAGGUAACAAGGCCGUGGAGCUAUUUGAGGAUAUGAAAAGAUCAGAUAAGCAACCUGAUAGGUUCACUUUUCUAGGAGUUCUUCAGGCAUGUUGUCAUGCUGGAUUGGUAUCAGAGGGGCUGAAUUAUCUAGCUCAAAUGCAAACUUUGUACAAAUUAGAGCCAGAACUGGAGCACUAUGCCUGUGUGAUCGACAUGCUCGGUAGAGCAGGCCGACUAAAUGAGGCAUUAAACUUCAUAAACGAAAUGCCUGAAGAACCAGAUGCUAAAAUCUGGAGCUCAUUGCUCAGUUCGAGUAUAACUUAUGUUGAUCUAGAAAUGGGAGAGAAGUUUGCUGAAAAAUUGUUAGCACUAGAAGCAAACAAAGCUGACAGCUAUAUUUUACUCUCUAACUUGUAUGCAACAGCAGGAAAAUGGGAUGUUGUGCGAAUGGUGAGACAGAAAAUGAAGGAUCUCAGCCUUCAGAAAGAUGUUGGGUGCAGUUGGAUUGAACUUCGAGGUAAAGUCUAUAGUUUUAUAGCUGGGGAAAACUCGAAUCCAAGUUCAGACGAGAUACGAAAGAUGUGGAAUAGAUUGGAGAAACAGAUAGUGGAAAUUGGGUACACACCUGAUUGUAGUUGUGUUCUUCAUGAAUUGGAAGAGGUGGAAAAGAGGAAGAUAUUGAAAGGGCAUAGUGAGAAGGUUGCAAUUUGUUUUGGGUUCUUAAACACUAAAGAAGGAACUACAUUGAGAAUCUCCAAAAAUCUAAGAAUUUGUAGAGACUGUCACAAUGCAGCAAAGUAUAUAAGUAAAGCUGCUAAAAGAGAAAUUGUUAUUAGAGACAACAAGCGUUUUCAUCACUUCAAAAAAGGGAUUUGUUCAUGUGGAGAUUACUGGUAAAAGAAGAAGAAGAAGAAGAUCAUUACUGUUUCUUGAUUCUUCUUCAAGAUUUAAAAUCACCCCUCCCUUAUGGUAAAGUUAUUUGCUUUAAGAUAUUAAAUUGAAAUUUGAUUUAACUUAAAUUUACUUUAAAAUCAUAGAGCUAACUGAAAAUAAUUUCAAUAUCAAUUUUUUUAUCAAUGGGUUCCUAAGGAAACUUCUUCCCAUACCCAUCAAUCUAUAUUGGGAGGACAAUGGAAAAAAGAGAAAUUGCAUUAGCAAAAUAUCAAUAAUGACUUCAUUUUUUUUAAUUUUGCUUGUAUACCAAAAUUCACCAAACUUUUUAUAGGUUUUAGAUUCACCCAAUUAUUGUAUUUAUAAAGUUUUAGAUUUUCUCUAAAAAAAAAACUAUAGUACACAAGAAAAACCACCCUUCCUUAUUAUUAUUUUUUUUUUUUUCACUUUCUUUUUAAAAAGUGGACAAAAUUUUCACUGACCCAAUUUUUAAAUUUUUUUUUAACUAAUGUAAUAAUAACUUAAAUCUAGAUUUGCAUCUGAGAGUUUUACAAAAAUAGCAAAAAAAAAAAAAAAAUUAUGAGGAUAUUUUUGGUUUAGAUAUUUAAUCAAUCAACAAAUAAUUAUUGAAUCUAAAUCAAUCAAAUAACUACAAGUAUGAAUCUAUGAUGCAUUCAAUAACUUUAGGAAUAAUUGGUAUGAUUGUCAAUUAUAUAACAAUAGUAACAAUAUACUCAAAUUCUUAAUAAUUAUAAAAGAAAAAUUGUAAGGUGAUAGCAAUCGAUUUUAUUUGCAAUUAAAUAAGAAACUAAUCAAAUAUUUCAAGAGAUGAGAGAAAUUUUUGGUAGCACUGUUAUUUAUUUCUCUUACGAUUCGAAGUUCCGUCGUCUAUUUGCUGAUAUGAUUCGCCGUUGGGAAAUCGAGAAGAUAGAAGAGUGAUUUGAAGAGCGGCAUGCCGUCCUCUGCAUCAGCUCCGGCCUCUCCUCCGUCGGCCUCUCUUUCACAGAAUUCUGCUACCCAACCUUCCCCUCGGAAAAAUUUGGUAUGUUUUUCUUCUUUACUCUCUCUCUCGUUCUUUUUCUGGGGCUUCUGUUGAUUCUUCUUGGGUUUCAAUCUCUUCCAAGGCUGAGGCUGCAAACAAUAAUGACGGACUUUUUAAUGCCGAGGAGAAGAAACCCGAUUUGUCAGAUCAAUUUGAGUAUGCCCUUUUCUUUUUCUUCCUCUGUGGCUUGGUUUCAAGUUUAAGUCGUUACUGUUUCUUGCGAUCUUUUUGAUGGUUUUUCCUCUGAUUUGUUUGAAUAUUGGACGAGGGAAAUGUAUUGAUUAUGUAAAUUGAAAUUGCUUUUGUACUCUGUACUCUGUUUUUUGUUUUCGAAGGGAAGAAGAUGAAAAGAGUUCGUAAUCGAGCUUCAUAGUUAUUUUUUAAAAAAAAAAAAAAAAAAAAUCAAUCCCUUGUAUGAAAAAAGAGAUGUGUGGAAAACCCUAGUUCGUUGUUUGCGUGAUCUCCAGUUUUAAUCGGAACUAAUGUUGGUGGAUAUCAUCAAUGAAAGUCAAAAUUCGAAAGAUUCGAUUUUUCUCAAGCGUAAGGAUAUAAAAUUACUACAAAUGGAACCUCGGAGAAUUUAUUUUAUUUUUCCGUUUUUGAAUUUGUAGUGCUCGUUCUUAGAAUGGUAGGACGUUAAAAUGAGACAGAUGUUUGGUCACUAACUUCCCCCUUUUUUUUCCAAAUAAGAUAUUGAAUCUCAUUCAAAGGGACAAAAUAGAUUACCCAUAAAACUAAGUUGUGAUUGGUUAGAUAUUGAUUAUUCAAGUGUGUGAGACAUCAUUGUCAGAUUAGUUCUGAUGGGGAAUUUUCUGUUGCUCAUCAUUGAAAUUUGAAAGGCUUAACAGUCAGUCAGUACUUGCUAUCUAGUUUAUUAAUACUUGACUGAACUGAAAAUCAUCGAAUUAAGUCAAGAUAUAAACAAAAACCACCACCAAUGGAAGCUGGUUUUUCUUCUUUUUUUCAUUUCUCACUCUCAUGAAAACUUAGUUACAUCAACUGCUACAUGUUUGAAAUUGCUCUCUUUGUUAGCUCUCAUAUGGAGACUGCCUAUUGUAUUACCAUCAGUUAGACUUCUUGUUUAGUGAAAUAUGGGAAGGAGACAAUUUAGUGGUGAACUUUUCUUUUUCUCAAUUACCCGAGGUGUUUAUGGCCUCCACUCUCCCUUAUCUAUCACUCUAUGGAGAGACGUCCCCUAUCUGGCCUUCUCCUGCAGAGAAAAAUAUUUGUGUACUGCCUUGUUUAAGAACUCUUAUUUGCUUGCUUCCUAUGAUCUAGAUUCUAUAUAUUGAAUGUAUGUCAAUAGUCUCCUUUGGACCUUGUGACUUCAAGAACUAAAUUAACGAGAAUUUGUUCUCCUUCAGAUAGUGAUAGUGGCUCAAUGUCGUGCUAUUUUCUUUAUUCUUUCCAGAGAUUUUGAUAAUUUCACUUCCAUUGAGAAGUACCAGAAAUAUGAAGCUGACUACGCUCAACGCCUAAUGGCCAAAUACUUCUCCAAGAAAAACCUCUAUGGAGGUAGGUACAAAUGGCCCUUUGCUUCUUUAUCAAUUUUAUCCCAGGCUCUAUCCUCUUUUCCUGUUCUUACAAUCUCAUAAUAUUUGAUAUGAGCAGAAACCAAAUCAAAUCAGUUUAAAACGAUAGCAUUUUAGAAGAGUGUCCAUUGUAAAAAGAACUAGCAAUUGUUAUUCUAGAAAUACCAUAUCUUGUUUGUUCUUUUAAUUUUCUUUUUCCAUUAUUUGUGACCAAAAACAGUUAAAUACGUUCAGAAAAACAAUUAUUGAUGCCCUCAUUCCUUCAUAUGGAAACAUCCACCAUUUUGCAGGAAACAUCUUUGAAGAGAACACAACAAUCGACAACGAGAUUAUAAAGUCGAGCAAGUAUAUUCAAGAACUGGCUUUCAUAUAUCUUUGUUGUUUGUCAUUGUUAUUGAUCAUCAUGAGAUAAAUUAUGUAUGAAUCUAUGUUAUACAGGUGGCCUUGUACAAGGUCUUUAGCUGAUCCUUUGCAGGGUUUUGAAGAUCAUAGAAGCAGCUGUUCAACAUCCGCCAUGGAAAGCCACAGCGCCAUCUCAAAUGGGAAGCAUGCUGUGAAGAAGAAUGGAUGAUAUAAGAUGAAGUCUGGGGGUGGGACUGCAGGAUUUCGGGUAAAUUGCAAAAACCAUACCCCCUUUAACUUUUAAGGGUAAAAAUCAAGUCCUCAAACUUAUACAAGUAUUUAAAUUAAACUAUAAAUGAUAAAAAAUUGAACUCUCAAACCUAAAUAAUUGUUAUAGUUUCUACAAUUACGUGAGGAUGAGAAUCCAUUUUGCUUACUUAUAUAAGUUUAAGGACUCGAUUUAUGCCCUUGAAAAUUUAAAGGUAUAUUGCAACCACUCCUUUUUAACGGUAACAAAUAACAAAUAUUCGCACUUAAAUUACAUUGUCUCGAUUUUAACUUAAACAAGAAAUCAGUGAUUGCCAAUUAUUCUUGGCAUGUAUUAGCCACUAGGAGCAGCAAAAUUUAACAUUGAUUUGUAUAAGAUACUUUUCAUACCCAAAAUUUGAUUAAGGUAUAUCCAAUCUACUAGAGAGUUCGUUGCUUAUGAAAAUUUGAAUGUUCAAUUUGUUUGACCUAUGCUCAUCUUGGAAUGGCGAAAGGUUGAUAAAUAUUAAAAUAUGUUACAAUAUCUAAAUUGAUAUGAAUUUAAGAGUAUAGAUUAAAUCAUUUUAAAUCAAAGUUUGUGGACUAAUUAUUUUUGUGAAAAUUGAGGAACAUAAGUGAUCUUCAACUAUUUAUAAGAGAAAUAUAUAAUUGAGGUUAAACUAAAAGUUUGGUAUUUUUUAGAAUUUAUUACAUAUAGUUUAUAACUAAAAUUUAGUUAUUGUAGUUUAACAAAAUGGUUAAAUCAUAAAAAAAUGUCAUUAAAUUUGUAGUUGGUGUAAAUACUCUUAAAUUUUCAAAAAUUUAAAAAAGAUUCCAAGUUAGUUUUGAAUGAAAAUUGUUAAAAAUUUGUUUUGUUGUAAAAAUAUCUUGAACUAUCCAAAAGUUUCGUAAGUAUUUUUGAGCUAAAAAUAAAUUAAAAAUACCCAUUGAUUCAAAAUUUACGCUAAUCAUCUCACCCACCUAAAUUUUAAGUUAAACGUAUAAUUUUAAAUUUAUUUGACUAUUAGCCAAAUCAAUUGUUGACCAAUUAUUGUUUUAAAAAGUUCUAUAACAAUUUUUUGUUUUGAAAUUUUAUCUUUUAAACGGUUUAAAAUGUAGAUGUUGAUAAAAACAUCAAUGUCUUUUAUUUUACCGAAUUGCAAUUGAUAAAUAUUCAAAAGAAUUAUUCAAGCGAGUAAAUAAAUAUUUUAUGGUUUUCAAAUAUGUUUAUUCGUUGUAAUUAGUGUACUUUUCUACUAUUCAAAGACAUUAAAUUCAUGAAAAUGUAAAAUUAUCGAUGUAAAUUUAAACUAUGAUUUUAACUAAAAAAUUUAGUUUUUAUUUUGAAGGUAUUUACGAAACUUUUCAAAGUAUUUUUUAAAAUAAAAUUUUAGUAGUUUCUAUCAAAACUAGAGAAAAUGUUAUUUUGAACCAUUUUCAAAGGUUUAAAAACAUUUUUUAAACGGUUGAAAGUUUAAGAAUAUUUCUAAACAUAAUUUAGCCUAAAUGAGAAAUGUCACUCUUUCUUGAAAAAAAAAUUGAACCACAAGGUCUAAUUCUAAUUUUCAACACCAAAAUUGCAAUUUAACCAAGUAGUACUUGAGAUUCUAACUAAAAAAGUGGGUAUGAACCCAAAUUGUUGAAGUCUAAGGGAACUAUAAAUUCUUGGGACUCAAAUAGUAUAAAAUAACUGUACAUUCUCAUUGCAAUCAAAAAGUUGAAGGUCAGACAGUUUAAUAUAAUUACAUUAACAUCUAUUUCUUAAUUCCUACCCUCAUAAUUUACACUGGACUAAUCUUCCUAUGCAUUCUAAACAACAAUUUCAAGUAUCAAAAAAACCAACAAUGUGGCUUAAGAUCAACCGCCUCUGAAUUGAACAAUAUAGCCCAACUCUCUAUAUAUAAUGUGAAUAAUGUUCUAUUUUAGAGAAGAAAAAAAAGAACUACUUACUUGAUUGAUGACUUCAAGAACGGAUUUACGGGACGAUUAGAAGUAACUUGAUUUACACCUCCUGGCUUCACAUUCUGAUUAUUAGAUGACUUGAAAUGUUGAUUGGUUUCAAGGUUGGAGUCUACCUUACUCAAUGACACUGCUGCUUUUGUGGCAUCUGCUACAUUUGUGUUGUGCAUUUUUGAUAUCUCAUUUACCCCUGAAGUUUGCUUAUCUUCGGCUUUUCCAGACUCGAACUUUGCUCCUUCAGACUUUUGUUUCUUUGUAAACAAAGGUGCAGAGAGUAUUGGAGCUUUGAGUGUGGAUGGGAGAGUAAAUUCUGAAGUUUUGGCUUUAGGUGAAAUUGGAGCAUUAGGUAAGACAGAUCCAUUGCAAUUAGGUCUUGAAAGGGUGGUUUCUACAAUCCCUUUAGUUUCAUUAAGCAACCUUUCCUGAUAUUAGGAAGAAAAAAAAUAGAAGUUCAUGAUGAGCAAAGACGUAUAUAUAAAAAUGAGACCCCAUUGCUGAGACUAAAAGAUUUUUAAGGCCGUUUGUCAUACCUCAAGUAUUGCAUUGAAACGUUCAGCUAAGUUUGGAAGUUUCAAAGCAGUAACUAGCUUGAUUGCACCCUUAACUGAUUUCUCCAGUGACAAAAGUUUUACGAGUUCGGUAGCCCUGACAAGUUUAUCACCUGGAAAAAUUCACCAAUGGUCCGUUAGAUGAAAUCUCAGAUCGUUAGUUUUAGUUCCUUGUCAAAGGCAAAAGUCUCAUAGGAAAAUGAAAUGAAAGCUACGUAGACGUCAAAGUAAGUUGUGAAUCCCAACCGUUGCAGCAGGAAGCAAUGAGCCUUAAGAUGCAUCUGUCUUGAGCAGCUUCAAUACUGAAUGCCUCAUCAUCCAGUUCAGUGUCGUACAAUCCACGUAAUGCCAUUUCUUCCAUUGUGCCAUGGAUCUGUAGUGUACACUCACAUUACUUAGUAAAAGCAUAUCAAAAGAGACGUAUAUUAGAAAGAAAAGUGAAAGAAUAUAUCAAUUAUCAAAGAGUAGCUCCCAUUGCUGAGAAUUUCCACGAUAACUGACAUUGAUAUAAAUGAUUACCUUGAGUAGCCAUAGACAGCUAAAAGCUAUAAAAUCGGCUCAAGAUUGGAAAGUAAUGGACUGACCUGUUUGAGAUACAUAUCAUUCAUCAUAAACUCAUUCUCAAGUGCUUCUGCGCCCAGGUCAGAGAGAGCGAGAGGAAAUGAAAGGUUCAGCAGAGUAAGAACAGGUUUAGGUGUCACCUGAGGCAGAAAGAAAUUAGCCUCAGCAAUAAAUAUUGGGUAAAUGAGUUUUUAGAGGGAGGAAGUUAUCUGUGUUACCUGUGGGUAUGAGUCGGGAUUUUUGCAGAUCACACAGAACAACUUGUUAGCGUUCAACCCAGCCACCCAAUAGUUUUCAUCCGACUUUCUCUCUUUGCUGGCACUGCACAACAAAUCGUAAUUUCAGAAAGGAUGGCAAAAAGGUAGGAGGUCACUUUUACUUUUAAUGGAUACACAGAGAAAAUUGUAGGCUGUAGAUCAACCUGAAUAAUGGUACCCAACUGCCACCAUAUUGAUUCGUAAACACUCUGAGUACACCCUAUAAAUGUAUAUAGGAAAAUAAGAUCCGUAGUUUGCAAUAACCAACAGAAACAUCAAUAAAGUUACUUGACAGCAGAGCUAGUGUACCUUGGAAUCAUAUGAACUCAAUUUUCCUUCUUCACUAAAUCCGAACCAUGUGAGAUAUGAGCCUGGAGUUAAUGGCAAACGUCCUCUUAAGAGCUGUGUUCCAUUAGAAAUGUUUAAUAUUCUGAACUCUAGAACCUGCAUAUUUAAAAUGAACUUCACGUUAGAAAUUACACCUUCCAGAUUAUAAAUUCCACCUACCACCAAAACUUUUACUGACUACCACCAUGCUGCUUCAUGUUAUAAAUGGUGCUAAAACCAUGCUCACUCAAACCAAUAACGACUUUCCAAAUGUCCAAUAGAAAUAUUUUAUACUAACAAUAUAACAUCAGUCAUCCUCACCGUAGAUUCCAUAAAUCAAUCGUGCUCCAAAGAAAAGUAUAAUUGAGUACUAACCUGGUCAUUUGAGGGAAGACAUGUUGAAGAAUGCGUCACAAAUGCAAGUUCAUCCUUGAAGCCAGACGCAGUCACCACUGGCCCAUCAAGGGAAAGAAUAUGUUUCUGCAAGGAAAUCAUUCACCAAAAUUACUAUUUGAAUUAUCAAGUACAACCUCAUCAUCUUUCUUGAAUUUGGCUAGACCCUUUCACUCAAUAAUAUUCAGAAGAGAAAUCAAUGGCUUUAGAGAGAUUUUAUAGUUAUUUAUAACUCAUAAUCAAUGAAACAAUUGGCAUUUAACUCAAGUUCCUAGCUUCAUAAAGCUAACAAACAAAUGUAUAUCCAAAAUGAGAUCAUUGUUUGCUGCAAUCAGAAACAUCUCUCCCUGUUCACUGUAAUAUAGCUUCUUGUAGUUGUAAUAUUUUUCUUAAAUUGCUAAAAGAAGUUUUCAGACAAUGUGAAACACUCAGAAUACUAUAUUUAAGUUGUAAAAAAGGUGGAUAGGUUGAAAAUAUGGAACUAGUUAAGCAAUCUACCCAACAGACCUGUAAACCACCAUCUGUGAAGACGCGAAGAUAACUAAGACUAGUAAAUGCAGCCACCCAUCUGCUACCAAUUGCAACAACCUUAACUUCUUCUCCAUCGAAUCUCAUAGACCACUGAUUUUUUACAGUAGAUAUCCAAGUCAGUAUAGUUUUGUAGUCAUAUGGAAUUUGGAAAGGUAUAUACAAGAUAUAAGAACACAAAAGUUGCAUUAUUAGUACGAAGGUGAGAUACUUGUAAACUAUAAUUGAAAACAUUUUAACCUCACUGUUAUUUGCCCAGCUACCAAACGGGCGAUACAUUAGAGUGCUCAUAUUCUUCUCGCCCUUACAAGGGUUUGCAAAGACACUGCCAUUUUCAUCCAGUGCAGCCAUUGUAAAACCAAAAUGGUCAUUCAUUGAAGGAACUCGUGGGCCGCUUCCAGUGUCAUGAAAAUCUAUCUGAAAAGGGAUGGCACCAGUCAUUUAGAACACAAUCAAAAUUGUUUCAUGUCACCCAUGAAUGUGAUUGUUUCAUGCCACCCAUGAAUAUGAUUUCUACAAGUGUUAUAGCACAUACGUCCUGGAUAGAGCAAGUGACAAUACGGCAGAAACAUAAUAGGUUUAAGUUGAAGGGUUCAGCAUUACCUCUAUGUGGGAGUACCCAUCAUGUUCAAAAGUUGUUAUACUUCCAAGCAUAUUGUAACACAGAAAGCGUUUUUUUCCUGGCUGCAAAGGAGUUGCUCCGGGUUGAAAUGCUUCUUGUUGUUUCACUCUACUAUACGUUGCUUUGCCUAUAGCUCCUUCAUCGACAUUAUCUAGCUUAUCCCUUUUAACUCGAUGUGAUGUUUUACGAGAGUCCAACUUUGGGAACAAGCUAAAAUCUUCGCUAUCGACCUCAUCCAAGAUUUCGUCAUUUGUUGAAUGUUUGCGCAACCUUUUUCGAGUCGGAAUUUCAGAUUCAUGAUAGCUAUCUUCUCCAAGGUCACUAGAAUUCUCAUGCGCACUAGGCUCCUCAUCCUCUUCAUCAAACAAGAGGAGGCCGUUGCUAUUCCUUGAUUGCAAUUUUGGAAUAUCUUCAGUUGGAGGUUUCAUAGAAGAUGGAACAACUGAUUCCCAGACCCCAUACUUACCCAUGACAUCAAUAACAGCCAAGGCGUUGCCAAUUGGCUUCCAAGCCAUGCAACAUAUUCUUUCAUCAAAUUUUUGUCUAUCAAUAUCCAACUUCUGAUCAACAUCCCAUAUCAGAAUUUGCCUAUCCAAUGAAGAAGUAGCCAUGUAUUUGCCAUUUGGUGACCAUGAUAAGAAACAAAUCGGCUGAGUGUGAUCUCCCCUCAAUGAAAACAGCUUUUCAGCAGUAUCUCUAUCAUACAUCACAACAUCAUUUCUUAAACCAGGGACUGCUAACGUCUCUCCGUCAGGGCUCCAGCCUAAAACAUUCAUAACGGAAGGAUCCGAACCUGUGUUUGGAGCUAUGCCUUUGAGGUUAUGUAUUAUACUUCCAGAUUGAAGUUCCCAUAUAAUUACAGUUCCAAUCGAAUCCACCGACGCCAAAUAUUCACUAUUAGGGUCAAACGCCAGUCCAGUAACGGCUCCUUUAUGUCCUUUCAAAACUCUCGCAAUUGAACCAUCGACUGUAUUAACUAGCUUAAUACCAUCAUCAUCUCCACCAGCUGCCAGGAGGCUUCCAGACUUAUUAAACCCAAGGAUGCGUAUUGGCAGAGUAAACCUUGUAAUAUUUGUCUCAAAUUCUCCACCUGCAAACCAUUUGCCUCAUAAAGUUAACAGGAAUAACAUUUCCAAAGAAUUAAAAAGUCCAUAAGCCGACCCCUAAUAUACAUUUCUGAGAGAAGUAAACAAAUCCAAAAGAAAAUGAAAUGGCCAGUCAAGAUUUCGACAAGUCUGAUCGUUACGAUUCAAAACCCAAAAUUAAUUGAAGCAGUUCGCAGAAAAACCAAAGGAAUCAUGUAUAAGCAAAUGCAAGAUAAAUUACCGGGAAACUUGUAGAGUUUGACAGAUCGAUCCAUGGAUCCAGAAGCGAGACAAGUAGAAUUAGGGCUAAGAGCCAGCGCGGUGACCCCUUCACGAUGUUGAUGAAUGAUUUUGGGAGUAGUGGAAGGAAGAAGAGAAUCAUGGAUGGAUAUGGCGGAUUCAGAAGAAGAAGCAGUGACGAUAUGGUAGGCUUGUUGAUCCCAGAGGACAGAGCAGAAGGAAGGUUUGCCAUUGCUGGCGGCUUUGUGGGCUUCCCGGAGCUUCACCGACCGGAUUUUCAUAGCUGCUAACAGUGAAUUUCUUCCGAUAAACAAACUGAGUAUCUUGCGAUGAAUUCCUUUCGGUGGUUUUUAUUUCUUCGUCUCUCUCUUUUUUUCUUUGGCGGGAAAUUUGAGGAAUACAUUUUAGACUUCGCGGGAAACAGCUGCGAGAAUUAGGUCUUGAAACGGUACGAUAGUAAUGGGCCUUUCCCUUUGUGUCUAAUGGGCUUUUGGACGAACUAAGCGUCUAACCCCAUUGAAAUGGCCCAAUAUAAGUUUUUGGCCCGUAUUUUAAUAACGGUCUUUUCAAAAAUAGAAAAGGUGGGCAUGAUGGAAAUUGCAAUCGAUGAUCAUUUUAAGAAUAAUAAUUAAGGAUAUAGCAACAUUUUAAAAAAUGAAAAAUAUAUCAAAACUAUCACUGCUAGACUUGUAUUAGACCAAUAUUUGCAACAUGGCCUAUCGAUGAUAGACUUAUAUCAUUUAUAUCAUUAGUAGAAUUUGACAAAUUUUGUUAUAUUUGCAUUUUUUUAAAAAUGUUGCUAUAUACUUAAUUAUUUUGAAUCUAAUUGCUAAAUUUGCAACUAUUCCUAAACUAUUUAUAUUCUAUAGAACAAAACCACCCAAAAAUAAAUUUUAUUAAACUUGAUUUUGCUAUGAAGUGUAAAUAUUUUGUCAAAAUAUUAUAUUUUCUACGACUUUUCUUUUAAAAAUAAUUUUUCAGAUUAAAACAGUUUUUACAAACUGCAAAAGAUGACGAAAUAGAGUGGUUGUCACGAAUUAAAAUCGAGCUCACAAACUUAUGUAGGUGUUAAAGUUGUGUUUGUUAAUUUGUAUAAUUAAAACUACCACCAAAUUAAUGCAAUUAGUAUUUUCAUUUUCUAAAAACACUUUUGAUCUCUAAACUUUUUACGUGAGCAACCAUCUAGUCCUUUUACUUUAAAUUUUAUAACAAUGUAGUUGUUAAUCUCUAACAAAUAGCAAAUAGUUUCUAUAAUUUAAAAAUUGUUGUGGUUUGAUUACUAUAUAUCGUGAUAAAAACUAGUCGAUGUUAUGGACUACAUUUACAUUUUGGGCUGUUGAUGCCAGAUUUUGACCAAGCCAAGUAUGUUUGAUCUCCAUAAAGCAAUAAUUAUAAAUUUGUAUUUAAAGGGUGAAGAUAUUAUUUGCAAGUAAAGAGAAAAAUUGGGCACUGGUCCGAUGUAAAUCACAAACACUCUAAUACUUAAGUUAAAAGACCUAGAGAUAAAAAAAAAAAAAAAAAUUGAUAUCGAUCUAGACUUACUCUCUUGCAUUCCUAUGCCUUAUUCACAAGCUCAAUCCUCAUCUCAUAUUCCUUGUCAAGCAGGUAAUUAUGCAUGUUUGCUUCCAAUUGAGGCCAAUUGGCCCUUAAGAAGCAUUGACACUCCUAAUCUGGCGAAGUAUCGAUGUCAGACACAUUUAUGACAACUACACACCCUAAGUCAUCUUUGACAUGUGAUGUUCUUUUCUUGUUCUUUUUUUAAUUUUCGGACACAACUCCGACGACCAAGACAUGGCCAGACACAAUUGGAGGGAAAAAAACCCUAGAAACGACCCAUUCUCCCAGCAUGGCAAUAUUUUAUUAGGUUUAUUUCUUUUUUUAAAGAAAUUAUUAGGUUUAUAAGUUUCUUCAUAUUCACGCUUCUAUGAUUCUCCCCACCAGACCACCAAUCGUCUUUACCCUAACCCUCUCGUCAGUUAUCGUCACCGCCCAUCUCUCCCAUGGGUUGCGCUGAAGUUUUUAAUUACUAUGCUAAAAUUUGUUAUGUUUUAUGGCUCUUAACUUGUUGUUUUGAUGUUUUUAAUUGGAAUCAUUGUUAUGUAAUACGCUUAUAUGCAUGAUAUACAUUUAAUUUUUUUACUAAAACUCGACGUGUCAUGUCUUACUUCUUAUGAAAAAUGGUGUAUCGCGCAUGUCAUAAUCUAUGCUUCUUAGAUGGUUCCCAACAUUAUUACCUAAAAAAAAUAACUUAGAGUGUAAUCUCCUUUUAGCCUAACCUAUUUUGGGAUCAUAGGCUUUUGGGACUUGACAAAGACUCAGCCUUAGGGUUCAGUUGAGGUCAACCAAUUCUGGUCCAAUUUCAAGCCUACUUCUUCAAUCUUCUUUCUGUUUUGACUCUUUAACUCUGAUUCCUUGAGUCCAUCCUCAACAUGGACUAGUCUUUAAGGUUUAAUUGUCUAGGACUCUCAUUUUUCUAUAGCCCAACUAAUUAAAAUACCCAUCUUCUAUCCAGAAUAUGAAGUGGUGUAAAACAAAAUAUUGUUGAAUUAAGAGUGAAACAUAUUAUGAACACAUAAUAAGAAGAGAGACACCCACUUGAGGUUGAACAUCUUAAAGGAUAUCAAUAGAGCUUAGUAUUAUAUAUUUGAAAAAUUAAUCACAAUUGAAUUGAGAAAACUGUCAACACCAGAAAGUAAAAAUUGAUAUAAUAUAAGAUUUUAAUUUUCAAAACAACUCUAACAACCAAAAGAUGCAUGAAAUUUGAGGAUUCAAACUAAAAUUUGAACAUAGAUGAUUGUGGAGAUACUGAUUGAGCUUGUUCCUUUAAUUAAAUCACGAAUUUUAUGGUAAAUUAACAAAUUUGCAAACCUCUUGAUAUUUUCACAACGUAUUGUUCGCUCCAGACAUACGCUCUCAUGAUUUUGAGAUCUCGUACCACUAGAGAUAUUUAGAGAUUUGUUGUCCUUAACAAACUGGUAUCAAAGUCAUGAGUCUGUUAUUAGAAUUCUAAGUGGUCGAAACAAGAUGUAGUCACGUUAAAAGUAUUCAUUUGUAGUCGAUGUCUAAACUGUAACAGGACGAGCAUUUCAUGGAGGAUCAGAUAGACAAUUUGAAUGAAAUAAAUAGGUACCAGGAUGGAAGGUUAGAGGCAACACCUCAUGUUAAUGUUGGCAGAGUAAACGUUCAUGACUACAGUUCUAAAAAGUAAAAGUGUUAUCGAAAGGAAAAUGAUAAAUUUGUAUAAUUUAGGGGUAUGGGAAAGGAAGAAUGUGAGGUCCAGCGGCUGGGUCAUAAAAAGAAAAGAUGAAGGAAGGAUCACGUGGCAGAGCACGUGAGCCAAGGAACACGUCAUCAGAAAAACCUUGCGAGUGAGUGAGAGAGAUCCCAAAGGAAAAGAGAGAGAGAGAGAGAGAGAGAGACCCAUACAGGACAGGUCACUAUGGAAAAGCGAGCACAUGCUCCCAGCCCUCCCAAUACCCUUUUUAUUUUUUUAUUUAAUAUAUAUAUAUAUAUAAGGAGCUUAACUAAAGUAAAUUAGAAAAUUACUUUUUUCCACCAUCUAAUCUCUCAUCUGCUUUUCUUCUGGGUGGGACCUGGAGGGGGAGUAGGGUAGGGAAAUAUGCGGGUCCCACGUGGCAGAUUUCUUCCCACGUGACGCCGUCACGAGAAAGGGAGAUGUAGUAGAGAUUCAGAUAUCCCACCGCCCUUUCUCCCUCGCAUGCUCGGCACGUGCCUCCCCCCCGUACUAUCAUUUUCCUGACUCCCCCCACCCCCUCCCUUUUCUCUUUUUCUUUUAUCAAACUACAAUCUUAAUUCUACUUUCCAUUUUCGGGGUUCCUGUUUUUACUUUAAUCCUUUUUUAUAACCGUUUCCCAUUUUCCUUCUUUUUUUUUUUUUUUAAAUUCAACUCAUCCAAAACAACUAAUUUUUUUUAUUGUUCUAAUAUAUAGUUUUAGUCCCUACAUUAUUAUAAAUUUCAAUUUUAGGUUUAGUAUUACUAGAAUUUCACUAAAAUUAUAUUAUUGCAAGAAAAUUGUUGUAAAAAUUAACUUUAAAAAAUCAAACUAUUAUUUUCUAAUAUUAAAUAAUUUAAAAUGGAAGAAUGGAAUUGGUGAUAAGGCAAAAUGUAGGUGAGUUGAACGAAUUGGUGUGUUGGGGAACGUAACGGAAUCCGUUAAGGCCAAACAAACGGGGGAGAGACAGCGUGAAAAGGGGGAGUUUGGUUUAGGUCCCCACCGCACGCGAGGGAAGGAGGGAGAUGAAGGGCAGAGGAUGGGCGCACGUGAGAGAGUUGGGGAGGAUCACGUGCAGUGACCAUGCAAUUAAAACGACAUCGCAUAAUACCCCUAUCCGUUUUCCUAUUCUUAGGGCCUAUAGAAACUUAGGAACCAACGGGUCCCCCUCGCGUUACGCCACUGACAAUUUCCCUCUUUUUUCUUCUCACAUGCCCUCCUUUUUUCCUCUAAUUAAAUUCCCUCCCCAAACCCAUAGACAGAGAAAAAUAUCCCUAUUUAUUUGUAUUUUAAAGUUGGUUCAAUUUUCAGUGAGUAUUUGUUACAUUUUGAUGAUAAAUCACUAUAUAUCUUGGUAGACUAAUGUUUAUAUUGAUAGAUAGUGACAUUUUGAUGUAUUAUGUGUAUAUAUUAAUUUAUUUUAGUGUAUUUAAAAAUAAUUUUAUAUUUAAUAAAUAAAUCCCUACUAGCUCACAUGUUAUAUGGUGGGACUAUAUUAAUUCUUCGCAUUAAUUAUUAAUAUUAUUAUAUUUUAUUUGUGUCUCAAGGUUACACAUUAGAUGACAUGUCAAAAAAGGGAAAGAGGUGAUUUUAAAGAGAAGCUUUGAGGGUGUGGUAUGGGAUAGGCUGUCUACACUUUUUUUAUCCCUAGACAUUCAUAUAAUGUAACCCCAUACACAUCUUUUAAAACAUAAGUUAGACUAAAUCAUUCCCUUCCUAUUUUUAGACUGCUAUAUAAAUUUCACUUUUGGUAUAAAAAAAAUGCAUAGUUUGAUGAUAAGCACUUGACUUGUUGGAAUUUUACGUUUUAAACAUAAAUGUUACUUCUACCUAUAAAUUUAAAAAAUAAAGAAUAACAUAACUAUCUACUUAUCACUUAAAUAAAAGAAAUUGCAUUAAAUGACAAUAAAAUAUUUAGAAAAAACAACUUAUAACACCCAGUUUAAUAUCAUAUAGUAAUUAUAGGGUUAUCAGAAUCAUUAUUUUUAAACUUGCUACUUUUACUAAUUUAGAAAAUGUUUUGACAUAGGCAGUGCUAUCACGAACUAUUUUACUGUUUUCGUAAAAGCACCUGAAAAUUAUUGAAAGGUAAAAUAAAACAAAACAAGUUAUGUAUAUGUGGGUGAUAAUAUACAACUUAAAAGAAGAGAGAGAGAAUUAAAUUUAAAAAAAAAUAAAAAAUUUAAGCCGCUUGAUCUAAUCUACAAAACAACGAACGAUCCUCAAUUUUUUAAAAAAUGAUUUUGGUUAAGGGGGAAAAAAAGGGCAUCGCUUAAAAGAAAAUAAAGUGGGUACUGCCAACGUAGUGUGUUGAGUUGGCCACGUGAUGAAGGAGGAUGUGGUGGGCAGACAUUUUUUAAUCACGUGAUACCUUCCGGAUUAAACGGAGAAAUAGCCACGCGUCCCAUUGACAUGAAAGAGAGUCGUGGCCGUGAGUAUUUAAACUUAUUAAAUUAAUCUUCCAAUUAGGCUGUAAUUAAAUUAAAGUAAUCCAAAGUUUGAUUGGAGAUUAUGCGACAGUCACGCGCUUAUGAUUUGUUAACGGAUCCCUAAACGGAUUCCCUUCGCCAGAGAAUGUUUAUGUUACGGGGGAAACACUCUGUUCUGUUACAAAUUAAUAUUCAUCAUUAAAUUAAUUAAACUCACACUUUUCUUUUUUAAAUUAGUAUUAAUAUAUUCAUUUAAUUUUACUGCCACCUCAUCGAUUUCCUUAAGUCCCGUCAUUUCCGCGGCCGCUUUUGCUGGUUCCCGAUAAUACCUUUCCCCGCUCUUACCGUACCGUUUUAAGAGAGCCUCAUAUAUUCUCUUUUUAAUAUUACUUCGUUAUUAAAUUAUCCAUUUUAAAUUUCACAUGCUUUGUAAAUUGUAGUUUUAAUUUUUUUUUUCAUUUCUUCUAUUUUACUUAAUCUACUUUAAAAUUCAUUUUAUUACGUGUAUUUCCAAAUUUUAUUUAUUUAUUAAAUAAAUUGUCAAAAACAAUACAUUUAAGUAAGAUUUUAGAUGAUAUAAAUAAUAGAUAUUGAUGGACAAAAAUACAAUUUAUUAGUUUUUAUCAUUUAUAAAAUUCAAAAUUUUGUUAUAAUUUGUAAAUAUUUUAGUUUGUUUUACUAUAUCUAAAAGUAUCUAUAUUUUUAUAUAAAUUUAGGCUAGUUUUUUUAUUUGUGUAGUUUGGGCAUUUAGUUAUCAUAUUUUUAUAACAAUAAUUAUAUCAACAAAUCCUAAGUUUAGUCAUUCAAAGUUAAUUUAUGAGCUAUUGAGAUUUAGAGAAAAAAAAACACAAGCUAAUUUCACACCUAAUAUUUAUUGAUAGUACGUGAACUAAAAUCUGUAAAGUGAAAAUACAAGAACACAAAUAGAAUGAAACCAAAAUAUAUGACCAAAACAAUGUUUAAAUGUAAAACAUUAAAAUUUGUCUAGUUUUGAUUUUAGUUUAGAAGUAACUGCAAAUACAAUAAUCGUAAUUAAAGUUGGUCUAGUUGAUUUUAGCUAUAUUUAUAAUUACAACAAAACUAUUCCUAGUUUUCAAAGUCUAUUGAUCAUAUCACUAAUAGCAGUCUAUAAGUGUUAAAGUCUAUCGUUGAUAAAUUUUUUCAUAUGGGCAUUUCUUUUAAAAAAAUAGUUAUAUAUUUAAUUAUUAAUUUUAAUCGUUGCUACUCAUAACAAUUAACUACUAGUUUUGAAAGUGAUGUUCGAUAAAAGUAAUUUUUACCUCAAAAUAAUUUUUUUUUCCUCACAUGACAUUCACAAUCAACUAGUUAAAAUUUUUAAAGGUACGUAAAUGAUCUAAACUAAUACAUCUAAAAGUGAACGCAUUAUGUACGUAUAGACUUCAUUUUCAAUGUUGGUACGUAGUACAAUUACAUUAAAAUAAUUGGUUAACAAGUGAGUAUAAUGAUUGGUUUUACAAAAUUCAUGUAAGUGAUUAAAUUAAUAGGUGUUUUAGAAAAGGAAACAAGGAGGAUAUAAUUUGAUUAAUAAUUAUAAUGUGUGAACUAAUUAAAUUAAAACUCUAGUUAAUUAGAAUAAAUGAUUAGGGAAAGAAGAUCGAUGCAUGAACCUAGCCUAAAGUAUUGAGUGGAUGUUUCUUUGUACGAGAAUCUUUUAAUCACUUUGGAACCAUACGUUCAUGUAGGUUGCAGCCUAUGAUCACACCCCUACCCACCUUGGGACUCUCAAUUGACUUUUUCUUUAUUUUAAACAUCUUUUCUUUUUCAUUUUUUUACUGGCUGAUGAAUGAAUAACUUCAAUUCCUCUAGGUGGUGGAUUUAUUUAAACAUUUAUUAUU
rnacentral:lncRNA from 1 species